UUUAGUGAUUGCAAUCGACUGAAAUAUCAACAUCCGGUUGGCAAAUCUGGACUUCUGCAGAGACGAACUCUUGAUUUGAUUAAUUUAUGCCUAGUAAAGGUUUGCACCUAUAUUGUGUUACCAUGUUUUACUGACGACCUGGUUGUUGUUUGAUUCGCAGUAUUGUACCGCAAUUUGACCUUCGAACGUCAGUGGAAGAUGUUGACUUCCAUUCAUGUGAAGCAGAUUUCGUGAAGGUGUUUAAAGGAAGAGUAAAAAAUGGGUAGCAAUACCCUUAAACUUCACUGUCCGAUGACGCCAUUACACAAAUUAUACUGUGUUUGAGUAAAUAAGUCCAUGCUUUCGAAACAAGACGAAAAUGGAAAAAGAUAAAGAACACACAGUUUAUAUCAUAAAUGAAGGCGAUGGAAUGGACUCUGUUCAAGUCUGGCAGGCCUAUACCAUGUGUGCAACUAGCAUCAUGUUAAUGUUUGCAAUCCGUUCAAUUGUGACAAAGAUUGGUAAACCAAAAACUUUAAAAGAUGGUGUGUCCUUUUGGAAAUGGAGAAAUAUUCUUAUUUCUUGGAUUCAUGCUGUGGUUGUUGGUAUAUGGGACUU